rnacentral:rRNA from 1 species
AUACGGGAGGCAGCAGUAGGGAAUCUUCCACAAUGGACGCAAGUCUGAUGGAGCAACGCCGCGUGGAUGAAGAAGGUCUUCGGAUCGUAAAAUCCUGUUGUUGAAGAAGAACGGUUGUGAGAGUAACUGCUCAUAGCGUGACGGUAAUCAACCAGAAAGUCACGGCUAACUACGUGCCAGCAGCCGCGGUAAUACGUAGGUGGCAAGCGUUGUCCGGAUUUAUUGGGCGUAAAGGGAGCGCAGGCGGUCUUUUAAGUCUGAAUGUGAAAGCCCUCAGCUUAACUGAGGAAGAGCAUCGGAAACUGAAAGACUUGAGUGCAGAAGAGGAGAGUGGAACUCCAUGUGUAGCGGUGAAAUGCGUAGAUAUAUGGAAGAACACCAGUGGCGAAGGCGGCUCUCUGGUCUGUUACUGACGCUGAGGCUCGAAAGCAUGGGUAGCGAACAGGAUUAGAUACCCUGGUAGUCCAUGCCGUAAACGAUGAGUGCUAAGUGUUGGGAGGUUUCCGCCUCUCAGUGCUGCAGCUAACGCAUUAAGCACUCCGCCUGGGGAGUACGACCCCAAGGUUGAAACUCAAAGGAAUUGACGGGGGCCCNCACAAGCGGUG